GCCAUGGUCUAAGUACAAGCCGAUUUAAGGUGAAACCGCGAAUGGCUCAUUAAAUCAGCUAUGAUUCAUUGGAUCUGUACCCACACUUACUUGGAUAACUGUGGUAAUUCUAGAGCUAAUACAUGCACUAAGUCUCUGACCGCAAGGGAAGAGCGCUUUUAUUAGUUCAAAACCGGUCGGGCCUCGGUCCGUCACCCCACCGUGUUGAAUCUGAAUAACUUGUGGCUGAGCGCACGGUCUCCGCACCGACGCCGCCUCUUUCAAGUGUCUGCCUUAUCAGCUUUCGAUUGUAGGCUAUACGCCUACAAUGGCUAUAACGGGUAACGGGGAAUCAGGGUUCGAUUCCGGAGAGGGAGCCUGAGAAACGGCUACCACAUCUAAGGAAGGCAGCAGGGUUGCUGAUUACCCACUCGCCGGACGUGGAGGUAGUGGCGAAAAAUAACGAUGCGAUACUCUUCCAAGGCCUCGGCCCUCGGGAAAAUACUCUUUAUAUCUUUUAACAAGAAAUCUAUUGUGGGCGGGAUUUGGUGGUCUGAGCCGCCACGUCCUUUUG
rnacentral:rRNA from 1 species